GUCCGGCUGAGGCGCUCUGUCCCGGCUGGGUGGGUCCCUGAGUGCUCAUUUUUCGUUUUCCGUCAGAGGCCGACCUUUUUCUCUGGAACGCACAAGCCAGGUCCAAAAGUUCCUUCAGGGCCUCCAGGAACCACUAACCAACGUCCCUGUUGACCUCAGUUUCUCGCCUGUGAAAUAAAUUGGAACUGGAAGUUCUGGAGGCUGCCUCGGCUCUAAAAAAGCCCAUUUCUGGAUGUCGGACGUUUAUCCUCAGUCUCUUGCAAUUUCCUUUGAGAACAGCCAGUUAAAAAGAAGUGAGUGGCAGGUAGGGCAACUUUUUUCAGAAAGUCAUAAAUAGUUCGAGUCCACUGCUUUCCUCAUCAAUAAAGAGGAUUCAGUUCAACCAGCUUUCAAUAUUUGUUUUUUUUUUCCAAAAAGAUCAUUACUAUUCAUCCAAAAAAAAAAAAGCUUGCCUUUCUUUGAUUUCAACCUAAUACUGUAGGCUCUAACUAAUCCUUUUCAAGGCUGAAUCACGCUACUUUUUGUUUCUUAAAAAGAUUUUGGCCAAAGAUGCUUUGAGAUUCUUCUUGUUUUAAACGGCUCAUCAGCUGAUGUCUUUAAAAUGUUUAAUUACAUAAGACCUUAAAAAACAAAAAACAAAAAAAACCAAAGGCCGCACGGUGGCUUAAGCCUUUAUAAUCCCAGCACUUUGGGAGGCUGAGGUAGGACGAUAAUUUGAGUUUAGGAGUUUGAGACCAGACUGGGCAAUAAAGCAAGACCCGCAUCUCAAAAACAACAACAAAAAACGCUUCAUUCUUUAUACUGCUGCACAGUUUUAUUUGGUAUUGUUAAAUUAAUAGUUUAUUUUCCUAUUGAUGGGCAUUUAUUACCAAUUUUUCUGCUAUUACAACAAAAAAGAGCUGUAGUAAACCUUAUUCAAGCCUUGUUUGGAUAGGAUUAGUAGGCUGCAUAUAAAAGAAAACUGACUUUUUAAGGUGGUUUAAACAAGAUAAAAGGUUUUAUUGUGAUUGACUUUUCUUUCACAGAAGCAGUGUAAACUCGAAACUAGGGCUGGUAUAGUGGCUUCUCAGCCAUCUGGUACUCAGCCUCUUCCUCAUCCUUCUAUCAUAUUAGCCUGUGGCUUCCACCCUCAAGGUCAGAAAUUCCAGGAUGGCUCCUGGAGCUCCAGUCAUCAAGAUGACAUUCAACCAGAGGAAGGGAGAAGGCAGGCCAAACCAAGCACACCUUUCAAGUGGAGUCAACUUCUUUUAAGCAGCCUACUUGAACAUUGCAUACAUUUCUGUUUACAUCUCAUUGGCUGGAACCUAGCUCUCCAAGGGAGGCUGAGAAAUUGUCUUCUAGCUGUAUACAUUGUCAUCUCAAAUGAAAUUAGGAUUGUUAUAAAGGGAAAAGAAUAAAGUGGAGGUUGAGUAGGCAACUACGCCUGCUUUCCUUCACUCUUAGGACCAGUGCAAUUUAAAUUCUCUCACACCGUAGGAGUGGCUGAUAUUCUACAUAUUCAUGCAUGCAUCUGUAUGUAAACACGCUAAGCUAUGACCUUUCCUAUUGACGUUGAGCAGAAACAACUCAUAAGAAAAAGAUUUUUUCUUUUGUGAAAUCAUAGGGGAAAUGUCAUGAGCUUUCUCCCCAGAGCACAUUGCUCCACCCAGUGGCUUGGAGCCCUAUCCUAGUGCAGUCAUACUAAAAAACAUGCACAGCUGUGGCUGAUCAUGUGCUCUACUGGGAGGGGUCACCCUGGUAAUUCAUAUUGCCAGCUUCAAAGUUAAGGGGCAAACGUGUUGGGAUUCUUGGCCCACAUAUCUAGUUAUAGAGAAUAAGAUCAUUGAAAGUUUUACAGAAAUUGUUGGGAAUGUGUAGAAAGUUUCAGGGCUACUGACUUUCCUCUAAGGAGGAAAUCAAUUCGGCAUAUAAUCCACUGAUAUGAAAACAUCUGGAUCAAUUGCAUUUUCAACAUUUGGAUAUUUGAAACUUACUUUAGUGUUUGGAACUUGAUUCCAUUCAACUUGGGGGGAAUUUUAUUUACCAAAGACCUAUUGUUAACCAAGAAUCAGGUGAGGCACUGAUGCAAAAAUGAAUAUAACAAUAUCCUUACUCUGGCAGAGCAGAUAAACAAUAUGCAGUAAAUUUCAUGCAGAUUACAGGAGAUCCGGGCCCAAAGGGAUGAUGUGAUGAUGAUGAUAAUCUCUCCAAUUUAAAUAAGAGGAAAUCCUGGUUUUACAAUUACACAAUUUGUCUGAGGCUGCACAGCUAGUGCAGCGGCAAGGCAAGAAUCUAAGCCGAGGUGUACUGGAUAACAAGGUCCAGUCUUCUUGGAGUCCUUCUUCCGCCACAGCACCAUCUAGGUUAAUCAGUGAGGCACUCAGGAUGGUUAAAUUGGGAGCCAAAUGGAAAAUGCAUUGAAAAGUCUGGAGCGAGGAGCACUCAGAUGGGACAAGAGUCUGUGCCAGGUACCAGGUGGUGCAGUGUAGACUGGAGAGGACAGAUGUGAAAGAUUGUGUGCUCAUGGCCUAAGUGAAGCCACAAGUCUCUUCAGUGCUCUGGGGUUAAUACUAACCCCACCUCUAAGUGAUUCAGUGACUGUGGAUGGUAAAGUUGAAUCUCAGAUCUAAUUAGUGUCUUAACCUGAGCUCAUCCUGGCAUGCAUCAUUCCACAACAGAGGAGGGUGAAGCAAGACUUUCUAGUACUAUUUGGAAGCAGGCGGGGGUAAUAUUCAAAAUGUUGAAAAACUGGAGUAGCACAAUUACCAGUUAAUCAGAACUGAGGCAGAUGAGCUGAUGGGUACAGUCACCAUUGUGCCAAACAUUAACCCUCUAAUGACUGACUCAUGGGAAGGCAUAGGAGGAGAGGCCUGGGGAUGGGCUGAGAGAGGUAAUGAGUAUUUACCAUUUUGCACUUUUGUUGCUUUUUAAUCCAAUGUAAGAAUAGACGUACUGCAUACUUCCUGGGUUUUACCAGCCCCUAAAUUUACUCACUUAAAAAAUUUAAUUACAUAGACACGAAUCAUUCAUUGUAGUUGCUAAAUAUUGGUAGCAACUAACUCGUUGCCUUUUGUUGGAAUUUCAGAUUUUCAGUAGAGAAUGUGACUGGCCCAGUCUGAGGCAGGUGUCCAUUCCUGGUCACCACCAUUAUUUUUGGGCAGAAGAGCAUACUCACAGAGUUAAACAUAAUAAUUAAAAUUGUGUUUUCCUGGCUGGGCAUGGUGGCUCAUGCCUAUAAUCCCAGCACUUUGGGAGGCUGAGGCGGGCAGAUCGCCUGAGGUCAGGAGUUUGAGACCAGCCUGGCCAAGAUGGUGAAACCCCGUCUCUACUAAAAAUACAAAAAUUAGCUGGGUGUGGUGGCA
rnacentral:lncRNA from 10 species